GACGAACGCUGGCGGCGUGCUUAACACAUGCAAGUCGAACGGAAAGGCCCUGCUUUUGUGGGGUGCUCGAGUGGCGAACGGGUGAGUAACACGUGAGUAACCUGCCCUUGACUUUGGGAUAACGUCAGGAAACUGGGGCUAAUACCGGAUAGGAGCUCCUGCUGCAUGGUGGGGGUUGGAAAGUUUCGGCGGUUGGGGAUGGACUCGCGGCUUAUCAGCUUGUUGGUGGGGUAGUGGCUUACCAAGGCUUUGACGGGUAGCCGGCCUGAGAGGGUGACCGGCCACAUUGGGACUGAGAUACGGCCCAGACUCCUACGGGAGGCAGCAGUGGGGAAUAUUGCACAAUGGGCGGAAGCCUGAUGCAGCACCGCCGCGUGCGGGAUGACGGCCUUCGGGUUGUAAACCGCUUUCGCCUGUGACGAAGCGUGAGUGACGGUAAUGGGUAAAGAAGCACCGGCUAACUACGUG
rnacentral:rRNA from 1 species